rnacentral:tRNA from 1 species
GCGAGAGUGGCGGAACUGGUAGACGCACCGGCCUUAGGAGCCGGCGGCCAAAGCCAUAGGGGUUCGACUCCCCUCUCUCGCACCA